UUUAGUGUCAAAUUCUGCCUCGGAAGGCGUCCUGAGCCAGUGCCGUUUCCCAGAGGCCACUCCCAUCCCAGCUGCCCAGACCUCGUGGAUGCAGGGACGCUGCGAGCAGCGCCACCUCAUGGUGCUCGGAGGGAGGUUGUCCGUGGAUGCCUCGUUGCAGUUCCAGCUUCUGGGAUGGACGUGGAGUCUGUACCAUCUGCUAGGGAGACUUCUUAGAAGUUAAGGCCACCUUUGGAGAUGAGGCCAUAAUUCUGAGGUCAGUGUCACACCAUGCAUGAUAACAUCUGUAUCCCACACUGUAGUUUUUUUUAACAAUCAAUAUUGCGAAGUCAGCUUCCUUGGGAUGAACUCCAGCUUUGGAGGGCUUCCUGGACACAAGGCUGUGUGAAGAAAGGAUCCCUACUAUCAGUUGUGAUGCUGAUGGGAAAGGGGGAAGUGUUCCUUGCUGUGAUCAGAAUAGUGACUUCUCUUGCACUUGACCUUUCCACAUUCAAAUCCCCCAGAAGUGCUUCUGAGAUACCGUGCCAAGCACCGCGAAGGUGUUGACCUCUGGGCUACUUCAGGGUCUAUGAUGGGACGACUGAGCAUGGCACGUGUACUUCCUGCAUGGCUCUCAUUCUGCUAACUCUCCGUGUUCGCUAUGUCCUUAGGGGGACUUCCUGGGGAAGGCCAACUUUGGAGAAGAGGAAUUGGCAACUGGUUGGCACGAAUCUACAGUCCUUGAAGUUGGGUUAUCCGUGUUGCCUUUGCUUUAUUUAUGCUAAUCAUACAUAGUUCACCUAUUUUUCAGUACCAAAGCCUG